rnacentral:miRNA from 1 species
UCUAUUUAUAUUAAUUGAAGAAUGAGAAUGAAAUAUUGUUGGUGCUGUGAAACUGUUUGAUGAAAUGUCUGAAAGAAAAGGCUAUUAAUUUUUGCAUUAUGUAUUGUUAAUGGCU